rnacentral:lncRNA from 7 species
AUUAGCCUCCUAGUUAAUGACAUCUGUUGCUAAAUGUGGACUGAAAGAAGUAAUGUGGCAUAUGUUAGGUUAUGGGGAUACCAGUGGGGCCUAAUGCUGUGUAUAGCAGUGAACAGGUCCUGCAUCUUUAGGGGGUUGUCUUAAAGCUAUCUGUGUUUUGGCUUACCAGAGUUUAGAUCCUUACUGACGAUGGUGAUCAUUGGAGGUAUAAAUACUGAAGGAUACGUCAUUUACAGACAAGAUCUUUGAAGUUUAUUUCCUUCAGACAGCAGUGGUCAUUGGCAAUAUCUGUGUGUGGCACUGAUCACAGCCAGGAGUACCUUAUGUAUUGAAAUCUGAAGAGUGUUUCAUCAUGGGGAUUACUUCUCAAAAAACAACAGUUAAGCAGAACUUAAAAAACAAUGGCAAUGCAUACAGUGAAACAGUGGCUAAUCUAUGGAAGUUUUCUGUGGAAUGUUAGAGAUGUAACUUCUUUUUAAUUAGUGAUUAGUAAGAGACAUGAGUCUGAUGUACACUCUACUUGCACUAUUCGUUUGGAGUGUGUGGACUUCUGGUGACCAAUAUAAAUGUCAGAUGCAC